GAUGAAGAACGCAGCGAAAUGCGAUAAGUAAUGUGAAUUGCAGAAUUCAUUGAAUCAUCGAAUCUUUGAACGCACAUUGCGCCCGCCAGUAUUCUGGCGGGCAUGCCUGUUCGAGCGUCAUUACAACCCUCAGGCCCCCGGGCCUGGCGUUGGGGAUCGGCGGAGCCCCCCGUGGGCACACGCCGUCCCCCAAAUGCAGUGGCGGUCCCGCCGCAGCUUCCAUCGCGUAGUAGCUAACACCUCGCGACUGGAGAGCGGCGCGGCCACGCCGUAAAACACCCAACUCUUCUGAAGUUGACCUCGAAUCAGGUAGGAAUACCCGCUGAACUUAAGCAUAUCAAUAAGCGGAGGA
rnacentral:misc_RNA from 1 species